ACCUUUCUUUUGGAAAUCUAGAUCGGGAGGCAAUUCAGUUGUCACCCAGGACCCUAGAUUCCCUCUGCCAUUAA
ensembl:miRNA MIR9850 microRNA mir-9850